rnacentral:misc_RNA from 1 species
GGAGUUCUUGCUUUGCAGCAUCAAGUUCAAUAAAUACAGCCAUAUACUGUUCCCUGGCAGACUCCAAGUCCUGCUUCCUAGCACCAUCAGAUCCAGAAGCAUCACCAUUCUUUGCUCCUUCAAUUUCCUUUGCCUGAUUUUUAGCAGUUUCUGUUGCCUUAAUCGCUGAAUCUUUAGAUUCAAUGAUGUUUCUGAGUUUUUGGGUCAGAUCGUCGACUGUUCUUUUAGCCUUUUCAAGUUCAACUAGUGCUUGGGCCUUAGUUGUCUCAGCAUUCUUCAGUUGAUCCUUUAACUUGUUCAGCUCCUUCUGGGCCACGUGAAGCUGUGUCUCCUUGGCCAAAACUCUCUCUGCAUGAGGUUUUGCCUUCUUGAUGGCUGGUUUUUCUCCUGAGAAAGAGCCUUCACCAAAGAGCGUGACAGCAUCCUUAACAGAUUGAAAUGGUGCGCUAGUAUCAAUCUCUCCCACUACUUUAGAAGAAUCAGUAGCACUUUGACCUUCUUUUGCACCCAUACCACUUAAUUAAUUUAUAUUCUCAAAAUAUCACCCAACUAAACCCUAAUCAAGCUCCAGUGAGAAAAACCAAACGGUCAAAAUGAACAAUCUUGACAUCAUCACUCAAUUUGGAAAAGAGAAACGAUUGUUGAUCACCUUCUUCAUGAUCUCAUCGAUGUCAAGAAAAAAAGGGAAAGAAAAAACCUUUUAACCUUAUGACACAAAGAAUCAAACCCACCAAGGAAUCC